GAUUUUAGGAGUUUUGUGCUGUAGGUGGGAAGAGAGACCAAAUACACACUUCUCAUUAUAAAUCACAGGAUCACAAUACCCUCCUCGGCCAUCACGAAGCUGCGAUGGGCUUCCUUCCACUCAGGUGCAAGCAGAAUGUUUGAGAGGUCUGUCUGUAAGCGCAUCAGCAGGCAAAUGUAUACACAUCACGACCUUCAGCUCAGUUUUUCAUCUUCGCGUGGAACUAAAAUAGAGGCCACUCUUCAAGAUAAAAACAGACUCCUGACUGCUAGCGGGUAGUGUUUGAAGACUUUUCUGGCUGUUGGACACCAGCAAGAAAGUGGCCAGGACUCCUGACUCUUUGAAAGAAGGAGUAAGACAAACCUCCAGAAAACGACGGCAGCAGGACAAAUCC
rnacentral:lncRNA from 1 species